GGCUGGAGUUUCUCUUUAUUCACGUACAAAUCUUUCGCCUUUUACUAAAGAUUUCCGUGGAGAGGAACGUUGACGAGUUCAACUUAUUUUUUGAUCGCUUCUCUGCCUUUUGGCUAAGA